GGAGGGCAAGUCUGGUGCCAGCAGCCGCGGUAAUUCCAGCUCCAAUAGCGUAUAUUAAAGUUGUUGCAGUUAAAAAGCUCGUAGUUGAAUUUCGGGGUCAGUAGGUUGGUCAUGCCACUGGUAUGUACUGGUCUCACUGAUUCCUCCUUCCUGAUGAACUGUAAUGCCAUUAAUUUGGUGUUGCAGGGAAUCUGGACUGUUACUUUGAAAAAAUUAGAGUGUUUAAAGCAGGCUAACGCCUGAAUACAUUAGCAUGGAAUAAUGAAAUAGGACGUUCGAUCCUAUUUUGUUGGUUUCUAGGAUUGACGUAAUGAUUAAUAGGGAUAGUUGGGGGCAUUAGUAUUCAAUUGUCAGAGGUGAAAUUCUUGGAUUUAUUGAAGACUAACUACUGCGAAAGCAUUUGCCAAGGAUGUUUUCAUUAAUCAAGAACGAAAGUUAGGGGAUCGAAGACGAUCAGAUACCGUCGUAGUCUUAACCAUAAACUAUGCCGACUAGGGAUCGGAUGAUGUUAAUUUUUUAAUGACUCAUUCGGCGCCUUACGGG
rnacentral:rRNA from 1 species